AUACGGAGGAUGCGAGCGUUAUCCGGAUUUAUUGGGUUUAAAGGGAGCGUAGGCGGGAGCUUAAGUCAGCGGUUAAAUGGUGCGGCUCAACCGUGCCCUGCCGUUGAAACUGGGUUUCUUGAGAGUGCAAGAGGCGGAUGGAAUUCAUGGUGGAGGGGGGAAAUGCUUAGAUAUCAUGAAGAACUCCGAUUGCGAAGGCAGUCCGCUGGGGCACGUCUGACGCUGAUGCUCGAAGGUGCGGGAAUCAAACAGGAUUAGAUACCCUGGUAGUCCGCACGGUAAACGAUGAUUACCCGCUGUCGGCGGUAGACAGUCGGCGGCCAAGCGAAAGCGAUAAGUAAUCCACCUGGGGAGUACGCCGGCAACGGUGAAACUCAAAUGAAUUGACGGGG
rnacentral:rRNA from 1 species